ensembl:lncRNA
GCUGGACUCCACCCAUAAAAGAAACACAGACUGGUAAAUGGUUUGUUCUACUAAAAAGCCAAGGGCGUUGGGAGCAAGAGUCUUUCGUCCAUAAAAAAGCGGGACUAUUGUGUUACCGUACAAUUGCCAUACUAUGUGGCCUGCUCACUAAAGCAACCAACAAUUUGGCCAUUUCCUAGCUCACUACAAAAUCAGCACCCCAGCUUUCAGAACUCAGGCACCAAAGGAUGAUAGCCCCUCUGCAGAUUUGCCCACUCUUGCCGGCAGUUCCACAGAGUAAUCCCAACGAAAACACAGGCUCUCACUUUCUUCCUUCUCAUCAAGGGAUCCCUGUGACCAGCUACCCUGCCCUCUGAGGACAGUGCCUCCCCAGCUGCCUAUGCUCCUGGCAACCAAGCCUUGCUGUCCACAGGCUUGGAUUCAACCACUCUGCUUCCUCUCAUGCUUUCCAACCCUCUGAAUACACACUCAUUUAUUUAUGUUUUUAAUGUAGUAAAUGGGCAGCUAAAUGAUUUGCGAUUUGUAUUUUUUAUGGUUAAUUUGAAAUCUCGCUCUUGUUGGCUAAUCCUGUUAGUUGAUGGCAAAACAGAGAGAAACUGUUGCCCUUGUCGAGACUCUAACAGGCAUUUGAUGUUAAAUUACAAUUGGCCAGAACAAAAGAAGAAGCCGGAUUUCUUGACCCAGCGGCCUGGAGACCAGAUGAAAAGAUCCCAUAGCCCACCUAAUCCUCACCACGAUGCCCAUCCACCUCGAAUUGCUUUUACAGUUCACCACAACCAUGGUGGAAUGACAAAGCUUCCUGAGAAUGUUCUUAUAUGGGGCUCUCCACCUGACCACCACUUCCCCUGUGCAGGAUGCCAGUUGGAAGCAGGAAUUGAAUCCACCAGAAUCUAUCCAUUGUUGUGAGCUCCAGGUUCUGGUGCUAUAUUCUUGUCAGUUCUCUUAUUUCUCCAGUAUUUCUCCUAUAUCUCAUCAGCACACAAUUAACAUCUCUGAUAGUUCUCUCCCCAACAAAAAAUUAAUCUGUAAAAUUUAUCUCUAGAUAAAUCUCUAGAGCCAGGUACCUGAGGUUCAAGGCUGAUAAGGAGCAGGGGUUCCAGGAAGCCCCAUCAGCGAGCUUGGCUCCCUGAAUUUGGCAUCCACUGAGCAGCACCUCCAGCUAUCAGCUUCUCAACCAGCGAGGUCCCUGCAGAAGCAUCCUCAGCUAAGUCCAGAACCUGAUUUCCACUGAUCAUUCAAAUUUGGGUCCUUGUGUCAUGACUACUGAACUGGAAGCUGCUAGUUCCCAGGCCGAUAAAGGCACAAAUCCAAUGGUCUUGUUAGCAGUGUCUGUGAGUUGGGCAUGGAAAGGCACGCGAGCACACACACACACACACACACACACACACACACACACACACACACAGGUCCAGAUCAGUAAAGUAAGGCAGGAAAGUUCAAGUUCAGAUAAGAGGAGCAAUCCAUGUAUGGGUUACCCUUUCCAGCUACUCAGGCCCAGCAGCUGGAACACCAGAGCCUUCCUUCUCCAGAGAGUCCAUAGCUUAAAGGUCAGGAAGAGAUAGAAAAGACAGGCCUUUUUAAAGCCUUUGGAAACAACUAACUUUUAAAUGAGCCUCUACUAUGUAACCAGAAUAGAGUUUAGACCAAAGAGGUCCUGGUCUCAUCCUAUUUCCUAGAAGAUAGCAGAGCCUAGAGCUCUGAGCCUUAGCAAUAUACUAAAUUAUCGAUUAGUUUUUAAAGAGGCACCCAACCAUGAAUUAGCAACCCACACCAUUAAAAUGUGGGAUCAGCAAUAUUUGGUUUUGCAGAGCCCAUUACUUCUUACACACACACACACACACACACACACACACACACACACACACACACACACGUCUAUAUUAAAUAUGGAAAAGAAAAAGAAAUUGGAAAGAGAAACAAAAUAUUUGGAUCUCUCUCUCUCUCUCUCUGACUAAUAAAAUUGUUAUUAACACUUUUCUCA